AUUGAACGCUGGCGGCAGGCUUAACACAUGCAAGUCGAGCGGUAGCACAAGAGAGCUUGCUCUCUGGGUGACGAGCGGCGGACAGGUGAGUAAUGUCUGGGAAACUGCCUGAUGGAGGGGGAUAACUACUGGAAACGGUAGCUAAUACCGCAUAACGUCGCAAGACCAAAGAGGGGGACCUUCGGGCCUCUUGCCAUCAGAUGUGCCCAGAUGGGAUUAGCUAGUAGGUGGGGUAAUGGCUCACCUAGGCGACGAUCCCUAGCUGGUCUGAGAGGAUGACCAGCCACACUGGAACUGAGACACGGUCCAGACUCCUACGGGAGGCAGCAGUGGGGAAUAUUGCACAAUGGGCGCAAGCCUGAUGCAGCCAUGCCGCGUGUGUGAAGAAGGCCUUCGGGUUGUAAAGCACUUUCAGCGAGGAGGAAGGUGGUGAACUUAAUACGUUCAUCAAUUGACGUUACUCGCAGAAGAAGCACCGGCUAACUCCGUG
rnacentral:rRNA from 1 species